CACGGGAACAUCAUAUAAGGAUCCCACAUUUUUUUGAAAACAUUGUCGUAACAUACUCAUUGACAGAUUUUAAAUCAUAUUUUCGAGUGGAAAAGAACAUUUGAACAACUAGUACAAACACUUGGGCCACGUCUGAAUGCGCACGACUCUGAAAACAUGCCUGCAAAUAAGCAAAUAGCUAUUGCCUUAUGGUUCUUUGGUAAUCAGGAAGUAUAUAGUUUUGUUUUGUUUUGUUUUCAAUGGCAAAUAGAUUUGAAAUAUCUAAGGAAUCCGUUUGGAGAAUUGUAUUUUAAGUAGCAAUGUUAUUAACUGAUGAUGUUGGUACAUAUAUUAAAUGGCCUGGAUCUCACGAAAUAAUAAAGAUAGAAAGAGAAUUUCAUAAAAUGAAUGGUUUUCCUGGCAUCAUUGGAUCAAUCGAUGGUUCCCACAUAGUAAUAAGUGCACCAACAGAAAAUGGCGACAAUUAUAUUAACCGUAAAGGUUACCAUUCUAUAGUAUUACAAGGGAUUUGCGAUUAUAAGUUACGAUUUAUAGAUGUAUUUACAGGAAUGUGUGGUAGCGUUCAUGAUGCAAGAAUCUAGCGUUUAAGCGAUAUCAAACAACUAAUAACGCAAAAUGAAAAUAGAUAUUUUCAAAAUAUGUAUCAUAUUUUGGCUGAUUCAGCAUACCCCUUAUCUCAUUAUAUGCUAACUCCUUAUCAAGAUAAUGGUCAUUUAAAUAAUUUACAAAAUAACUUCAACACAAAAUUGUCAAGAACGCGUGUAGUUAUUGAACGUGCUUUUGGUAUGUUGAAAGGAAGAUUUCGAAAAUUGAAAUAUAUUUAUAUGUAUAAUACAGAAAUGAUACUUUUGGUUAUACUUACUUGUUGUAUUUUACAUAUGUAUAGAGAAUGAAGACGCACAUAUGGAAUUUGAUGCAAUAGAUAUGGAAGAUAAUAAUGAUAUUGCAUUAAUGGACGGAAUAGAGAAAAGAGAUUUCAUUUCUACUUUAUUGUAAGAAUAUUGUAAUAGAUAAUGCAUGAUUAAAAUUAUAUAUUUUUAUGGAUUACACAUAUUAAUUAUGAAGAAAACGUUAAAUAAAAUGUUCUAUGCAACUUCAA